rnacentral:rRNA from 1 species
CACGUAGGGUGCAAGCGUUAAUCGGAAUUACUGGGCGUAAAGCGUGCGCAGGCGGUUUUGUAAGUCUGUCGUGAAAUCCCCGGGCUCAACCUGGGAAUUGCGAUGGAGACUGCAAGGCUAGAAUCUGGCAGAGGGGGGUAGAAUUCCACGUGUAGCAGUGAAAUGCGUAGAGAUGUGGAGGAACACCGAUGGCGAAGGCAGCCCCCUGGGAUAACACUGACGCUCAUGCACGAAAGCGUGGGGAGCAAACAGG